rnacentral:lncRNA from 1 species
UCCUGCUCCUCCACUGACCCUCGGAGCCCCAUGGCUGCUGCUUCAACUUCUCUCUUCUCCUGUAGCCAGCUUUAACCCGGAUGCAAACGUGGAAGGGGAUUCUGGGAAAUGUAGUCCCAGCCUGGCAAAGCUCCACAGGCAUCUUCACUGAAGGCUUUAGAUCCCCAUUUAAGAGCCAUCCUUUAAUACAACCUAGGAUCCCUGUUCUGUGUGAUCAGGCCCCUCCGCAGAGCUGUGGACAUGCCCAAAGCCAGCACUCCCCUCUGAUUCAGAACCACGGACAGCACCACCACCCUUUCCCAGGGCCCACCCCCUAGCCCCAGCCAGGUGCACGUCUCUUCUCUCACCAAAGCAUCCCCACCUGGAGAGUGGAUGACACCCAGCUGGCAUUCCUCACUCCCUGUCUCCUGCACACCUGACUCCUGGGACCAGAGCCCUCACGGGCAAAGCCCUAGAGGUUGGCAGACCCCGCCACCCUCUGGAGCAAUGGAAAAACUCCAACCUCCAACCUCCAACCUCCAACCUCCAACCUCC